rnacentral:tRNA from 1 species
GCCUUCGUGGUGUAGUGGUCAGCAUGCUCGACGUGAAUUCCAGAGGUCCGUGCUUCGAAUCCCGGCGAGGGCA